rnacentral:rRNA from 1 species
CCUACGGGCGGCAGCAGUGAGGAAUAUUGGUCAAUGGAAGAGAUCCUGAACCAGCCAAGCCGCGUGAGGGAUGACUGCCCUAUGGGUUGUAAACCUCUUUUGUCGGAGAACAAAACCCGGUACGCGUCCCGUUCUGCGUGUAUCCUACGAAAAAGCAUCGGCUAACUCCGUGCCAGCAGCCGCGGUAAUACGGGGGAUGCGAGCUUUAUCCGGAUUUAUUGGGUUUAAGGGGAGCGUAGGCGGACGUUCAAGUCAGCUGUAAAAUCGGGCGGCUCAACCGAGCCCCGCAGUUGAAACUGGAUGCCUGGAGUGCACAACAGGCAGGCGGAAUUCGUGGUGUAGCGGUGAAAUGCAUAGAUAUCACGAGGAACUCCGAUUGCGAAGGCAGCUUGCCGGGGUGCGACUGACGCUGAGGCUCGAAGGUGCGGGUAUCAAACAGGAUUAGAUACCCGGGUAGUC